UUGAACCAUAAUACUUUUAUCUUGAUUGUUCUUAGGGUUUGUUGGUGAUCAAGAGCAUAACUCAGAGAUGAACUUUUGACGUUGUUUUGCUUGAACUGGUGAGUGUACCAUUUGCACGACUUGGUGCUAGAGGUGAACUACUUGUGACUGAAAUUUAUGAGUUGUAUGACUAUGAUUUGAUUGAAUCUGGACGGGACGGAUGUGUACUUUAUUACACUCGAUUCCACUUGACUGUCUGACUGGUCUACCGUUUGUUUGAAAUCUCUUACUUGUGCAUGACUUGGAUGUCAUUUGGAACCUAAUAUCCGAGGACUUUACUGUGAAUUUGAGUUCAAACCUCAUUGGUAAUUAAUCGAAUCGAGCCAGUAAGGGCUGGUCAAGGUAAAUUGAUGGGCCAUGAGAAAAACUAUCACUGAUCUACUGAAUAUUGGAUACUUCUGAUAAUUGGUAUACUCGAAUAUUACCACCACUGUUUUUGUUUAGUAUUCGGGUCCGAUAAGGGGUAUGUUUGAUGGAUGGAAACUGGUGUAAAGCGGGGUUCUACGGUCAAUGCUUUUGCUUCUCUAAACAUUGACGGAGGGUCAACGAAUUUGGAUCAAGCUACUGCGACUAGGACUAGGGAAUUUGGCUCUUGAGAGCCAUCUGUAUCCUUGUAUUUGAACCGCACUGUAUUAGUUGUGGUACUUACUUAUUCCUUUACUUGCUGCUUAUAUUUGAUAGAUUAAAGUUCUAACUAUGUGAUUUCGACUGCAUGACCUGUGGUACCUCAUUGGACAAAAACUCACUCUAUCAUCUUUGUUUUCCUUACAGGGGGCGAAGUUUUGAAAACGUGAUUUUUUUGGGAAGAGUUGAGCUAGUUAUAGCUUUUAGGCAUUUUGUUUAAGCUUCUCUGCAUUAGUAAACCUUACAUGUGUUUGUAUAAGAUUGAAUACUCUGAUUUGUACUUUAAGUUUGAAUCGUUGGUGACUCUAUUGUAUAUAGUUAUGGGUUGAUGAUUGGAAGUGAACUGCGCGUUUUAGUA
rnacentral:lncRNA from 1 species